ACAGAAGGGCAGGAGGCGCGAAGGCAGGAAGAAGCAGCGAUGGCCGUUUGUGAGCUCUGCCGGCACGAGGCUCCUGAGAGAAAGGCUGAAGGAAGCGACCCAAAGUCCAGAUUCAAGAAAAGAGUGAAAUUUAAAUUAAAUUAAAUUAACUCAGGAGAGGCGACCGCGAAAGAGGCAGCAGCUGAGGAAACCGGGGAGGGAAGACGCGCUUUUUUCCUUCCCUCAGAACCGGCCUGAGGGGAAAAUUUUUCCCUCCGAGGCAGUCAAGGGUCGGGAAGAACCUGGUAGAAAAGUCUCCUACUAAACACAGAAAGGUGACAAAAUUACUUCACCGCUGCAAUAAAAUACUUGUUUAAAAAGAAACCACGAUCAAGAGGAAAAGGAUAAAUUAUACACCUGUAAUUCCAGAAAACGCUGUAAAAAGAUUUACGUCACUACAGAAAUAACAAGACUACAAUAAACCUGUAACAUGUCUUAAGUAA